GAUGAACGCUGGCGGCGUGCCUAAUACAUGCAAGUCGAGCGAACAGACGAGGAGCUUGCUCCUCUGACGUUAGCGGCGGACGGGUGAGUAACACGUGGAUAACCUACCUAUAAGACUGGGAUAACUUCGGGAAACCGGGGCUAAUACCGGAUAAUAUAUUGAACCGCAUGGUUCAAUAGUGAAAGACGGUUUUGCUGUCACUUAUAGAUGGAUCCGCGCCGCAUUAGCUAGUUGGUAAGGUAACGGCUUACCAAGGCAACGAUGCGUAGCCGACCUGAGAGGGUGAUCGGCCACACGGGAACUGAGACACGGUCCAGACUCCUACGGUAGGCAGCAGUAGGGAAUCUUCCGCAAUGGGCGAAAGCCUGACGGAGCAACGCCGCGUGAGUGAUGAAGGUCUUCGGAUCGUAAAACUCUGUUAUUAGGGAAGAACAAAUGUGUAAGUAACUAUGCACGUCUUGACGGUACCUAAUCAGAAAGCCACGGCUAACUACGUG
rnacentral:rRNA from 1 species